rnacentral:rRNA from 1 species
AAUGAACGUUGGCGGCGUGGAUUAGGCAUGCAAGUCGUACGGGUCGGUGUAGCAAUACAACGGCAAGUGGCGAAAGGGAGAGUAACACGUAGAUACCUACCCUCUGGUCGGGGAUACCGCGGCAUAACCGCAAGUAAUACCCGAUAAAAUCUCCGGAUCAAAGGUGUGAUUCCGCCGGAGGAGGGGUCUGCGUUCUAUCAGCUUGUUGGUGAGGUAAUGGCUCACCAAGGCUAAGACGGAUACGGGGUGUGAGAGCAUGCCCCCGCUCGCUGGGACUGAGACACUGCCCAGACACCUACGGGUGGCUGCAGUCGAGAAUCUUCGGCAAUGGGCGCAAGCCUGACCGAGCGACGCCGCGUGCGGGAUGAAGGCCUUCGGGUUGUAAACCGCUGUCGAGGGGAAUGAAGUGCAAGUGAGUUAUCUCAUUUGUUUGACAGAUCCCUGGAGGAAGCAUGGGCUAAGUUCGUGCCAGCCGCCGCGGUAAGAC